GUUUUGCUAAUUAUAAAAGUCAUAUGUGUUCAUUGGGAACAUUUGGAAAACUGAGGUUCUAUGAAGUGUCCAAUGAUGUCGUGCCCUGGCCCCAGGUGGCCUUCCUAACCAGACUCCCUUCUUCUCCAUUUUAGGAAGAUCCUAGUACCUCCCCCUCUCCGGGGACCCGAGCAGCCAGCCAGCCACCUAACUCCUCAGAGGCUGGCCGGAAGCCCUGGGAGCGGAGCAACUCGGUGGAGAAGCCUGUGUCCUCGAUUCUGUCCAGAACCCCGUCUGUGGCAAAGAGCCCCGAAGCUAAGAGCCCCCUUCAGUCGCAGCCUCACUCUAGGUACCGAACAACCCUCCUGCUCACAUGUCCCCCAGGGUUUGGGGCUCCUCUGUCCCCCGUCCCGUGACUAACACCCUUGUACCCUGUCUCACGUCCUGGCAUUUAACAGCUUGCUCUGCAAAGGUGGUCUGUUCUUUCAGACCCAGGACCUCGGGGUCCUGUCAGUCAGCUCCUCCUCCUCCCUCUGAGGGAGA
rnacentral:sRNA from 1 species